rnacentral:tRNA from 1 species
GAGGGUAUAGCUCAAGCAGUAGAGCACAUGCUUAGUUAGCAUGCAUGAGGUCCUGGGUUCAAUUCCCAGUACCUCCU